UACGUAGGGUCCGAGCGCUGUCCGGAUUUAUUGGGCGUAAAGAGCUCGUAGGCGGUUCCGUAAGUCAGAUGUGAAAACUCAGGGCUCAACCCGGAGACGCCAUCUGAUACUGCGGUGACUGGAGUCUGGUAGGGGAACACGGAAUUCCUGGUGUAGCGGUGAAAUGCGCAGAUAUCAGGAGGAACACCGAUGGCGAAGGCAGUGUUCUGGGCCAGUACUGACGCUGAGGAGCGAAAGCGUGGGGAGCAAACAGG
rnacentral:rRNA from 1 species